rnacentral:rRNA from 1 species
UGCAGUUGAGCCGCUGAAGGUUGGUACUUGUACCGACUGGAUGAGCAGCGAACGGGUGAGUAACGCGUGGGGAAUCUGCCUUUGAGCGGGGGACAACAUUUGGAAACGAAUGCUAAUACCGCAUAAAAACUUUAAACACAAGUUUUAAGUUUGAAAGAUGCAAUUGCAUCACUCAAAGAUGAUCCCGCGUUGUAUUAGCUAGUUGGUGAGGUAAAGGCUCACCAAGGCGAUGAUACAUAGCCGACCUGAGAGGGUGAUCGGCCACAUUGGGACUGAGACACGGCCCAAACUCCUACGGGAGGCAGCAGUAGGGAAUCUUCGGCAAUGGACGAAAGUCUGACCGAGCAACGCCGCGUGAGUGAAGAAGGUUUUCGGAUCGUAAAACUCUGUUGGUAGAGAAGAACGUUGGUGAGAGUGGAAAGCUCAUCAAGUGACGGUAACUACCCAGAAAGGGACGGCUAACUACGUGCCAGCAGCCGCGGUAAUACGUAGGUCCCGAGCGUUGUCCGGAUUUAUUGGGCGUAAAGCGAGCGCAGGUGGUUUAUUAAGUCUGGUGUAAAAGGCAGUGGCUCAACCAUUGUAUGCAUUGGAAACUGGUAGACUUGAGUGCAGGAGAGGAGAGUGGAAUUCCAUGUGUAGCGGUGAAAUGCGUAGAUAUAUGGAGGAACACCGGUGGCGAAAGCGGCUCUCUGGCCUGUAACUGACACUGAGGCUCGAAAGCGUGGGGAGCAAACAGGAUUAGAUACCCUGGUAGUCCACGCCG